rnacentral:rRNA from 1 species
GUGCCAGCAGCCGCGGUAAUACGGAGGAUCCGAGCGUUAUCCGGAUUUAUUGGGUUUAAAGGGUGCGCAGGCGGCUUUAUAAGUCAGCGGUAAAAUCGUGGUGCUCAACGCCAUCAUGCCGUUGAUACUGUAGAGCUUGAUUGCGGUUGAGGUAGGCGGAAUUCGUCGUGUAGCGGUGAAAUGCAUAGAUAUGACGAAGAACACCGAUUGCGUAGGCAGCUUACCAAGCCGUAAAUGACGCUCAGGCACGAAAGUGCGGGGAUCGAACAGGAUUAGAUACCCUGGUAGUCCGCACAGUAAACGAUGAAUACUUGCUUUUGGCGAUACAGUGUCAGAGGCAAAGCGAAAGCGAUAAGUAUUCCACCUGGGGAGUACGCCGGCAACGGUGAAACUCAAAGGAAUUGACGGGGGCCCGCACAAGCGGAGGAACAUGUGGUUUAAUUCGAUGCUACGCGAGGAACCUUACCCGGGCUUGAAAGUUAUCGACGGACCUUGAAAGAGGUCUUCCCUUCGGGGCGAGAAACUAGGUGCUGCAUGGUUGUCGUCAGCUCGUGCCGUGAGGUGUCGGCUUAAGUGCCAUAACGAGCGCAACCCUUUUCUCCAGUUACCAUCAUUUAGUUGGGGACUCUGGAGGCACUGCCAUCGUAAGAUGUGAGGAAGGAUGGGAUGACGUCAAAUCAGCACGGCCCUUACGUCCGGGGCGACACACGUGUUACAAUGGGCAGGACAGAAUGGAUCGAAGCGGCGACGCGGAGGGAAUCACGAAACCUGCUCCCAGUUCGGAUUGGAGUCUGCAACCCGACUCCAUGAAGCUGGAUUCGCUAGUAAUCGCGCAUCAGCCAUGGCGCGGUGAAUACGUUCCCGGGCCUUGUACACACCGCCCGU